GACGAACGCUGGCGGCGUGCUUAACACAUGCAAGUCGAACGGAAAGGCCCUGCUUUUGUGGGGUGCUCGAGUGGCGAACGGGUGAGUAACACGUGAGUAACCUGCCCUUGACUUUGGGAUAACUUCAGGAAACUGGGGCUAAUACCGGAUAGGAGCUCCUGCUGCAUGGUGGGGGUUGGAAAGUUUCGGCGGUUGGGGAUGGACUCGCGGCUUAUCAGCUUGUUGGUGGGGUAGUGGCUUACCAAGGCUUUGACGGGUAGCCGGCCUGAGAGGGUGACCGGCGACAUUGGGACUGAGAUACGGCCCAGACUGCGACGGGAGGCAGCAGUGGGGAAUAUUGCACAAUGGGCGGAAGCCUGAUGCAGCAACGCCGCGUGCGGGAUGACGGCCUUCGGGUUGUAAACCGCUUGCGCCUGUGACGAAGCGUGAGUGACGGUAAUGGGUAAAGAAGCACCGGCUAACUACGUG
rnacentral:rRNA from 1 species